UACGAAGGGGGCUAGCGUUGUUCGGAAUCACUGGGCGUAAAGGGCGCGUAGGCGGCUUUAUAAGUCGGGGGUGAAAGCCUGUGGCUCAACCACAGAAUUGCCUUCGAUACUGUAGAGCUAGAGACCGGAAGAGGUAAGUGGAACUGCGAGUGUAGAGGUGAAAUUCGUAGAUAUUCGCAAGAACACCAGUGGCGAAGGCGGCUUACUGGUCCGGUUCUGACGCUGAGGCGCGAAAGCGUGGGGAGCAAACAGG
rnacentral:rRNA from 1 species